AAGAACGUUGUAUUUCGUUCUUCUUCUGCAACCUUGUGCUUCUGCAACCUCAACUUGGUUCUUUUGCAACCUCUAAUCUUGUAAUUCAUUCUUAUUUUAAAAGCCUUCUGCAAAUCCAUGGUCACCGAUCUGACGAAGCUGAUGUGAACGCCGAGGCCACGAUGUUUACCAGAACAUUCAAGACACAUGAAGAUGCCAUAUGAUACCAAAGCCCACUAUGGUUUCUUCUGAGAGUCAGCCAUCGAUGUCCGAUCCUGGGGAGCGAUUCUCUCUGAACCGACCAUGACUUUGGGGUUGGAUUACAGAUUCACUCAUUCUCUGUGUUCUGGAGACCUCGCACGAGCUCUCCUCUCUGCCUCACCUCUCUCUCUCUGUUACCGCUCAUUCUUCCUCCUUCCAAUUUCAACUUCCAUCUUCCAUCUUCAAAAUUGCUUCUGCUUCCAAGGGUUUUCCUUCUCUCAUUCUCUUCCUCUGCAAAAAGAGAUUCUUCUUCCAGGGUUUUCCCUUCUCUUUGAAUUAUAGUAGUCUAAAUCGGAAGGGAGAAACAUAAGAGCUUCGACUGGUUCGAUUCGCAAGGAAGAAGGGAAAGAAAGAAAAAGAGAGAGAGAGAGAUGUAAUCUGAAAGUUGAAUCUCUCUCAAAAGAGAUUUAUUUUCAAAGCUAUCUAAAGCUUUCUGUUCUUGCUCAAUGUGAGAUUUCAGCAAGCUCCAAUUAACUUAAUUGACUACCCUCCCAACCCAGUGUACUAUGGCGAUCGAUCUGCUCGGCCUUCAAGAGUUCUGGUCUCUGGAUGAGUCCCAGAAUUUUGUUUUCUCAUGAUCUACGCCACUCAGAUGUCGUUACCGUCAAAGAAUACCGUGCUUCUCUUUUGGAUUCAAUUUUGAUUUCGGUGUUACCGCAAGCUUCGAACGAGAACUAUCAUUUUCCGCUGAUGAGUUUUUCUUUGACGAACAAAUCCUUCCUUGUCAAAUUAGGGAGAAAACACAAACAAUACCUCCUUCGAAACAUACCAUCAAGCUAAGCCUCCUCUUCUUCAACCUCUGCCUCUACCUCUACCUCUGUUUCCUCCCCCUUUCCUCCCCCUUCUCGUACUGAUACUAUGAUGACAGCAGCAACGAUGUUGAUGACGAGUACAAAAACCCUAAAAUUGAAUCUGUAAUCAAACCCCUAACCGGUCCAGAUGAGAAACCGUGGUCGGUUCAGGAGUUUGUAAGCCAAAUAAGAAGUAUCCUUCUCACUCUAAAUCUGCACCGUCCACCUCAGCAAUGCGCUAAAGGGGUAAUAUGAUCUUUUAAUGUUUAAAAAUAACAUUAUACUCACACCAUCAAUGUUAGGGGAGGGGGCGUAAUUCAUGCAAACCCUUGGAUCCAUGUGUAAUUUUGACAAACUAUAAGGUAUGUGGCGUAAUUUUUUCUUAUUUUAUUUAUUUAUUUUAUUUAUUAUUAUGCAUAUGGUCCUUUAUUUC